CGCGUAGGCGGCCUUCUAAGUCAGACGUGAAAUCCCCGGGCUCAACCCGGGAACUGCGUCUGAUACUGGAAGGCUCGAAUCCGGGAGAGGGAUGUGGAAUUCCAGGUGUAGCGGUGAAAUGCGUAGAUAUCUGGAGGAACACCGGUGGCGAAGGCGGCAUCCUGGACCGGUAUUGACGCUGAGGCGCGAAAGCCAGGGGAGCAAACG
rnacentral:rRNA from 1 species